rnacentral:rRNA from 1 species
AUUGAACGCUGGCGGCAGGCCUAACACAUGCAAGUCGAGCGGAUGAAGGGAGCUUGCUCCUGGAUUCAGCGGCGGACGAGUGAGUAAUGCCUAGGAAUCUGCCUGGUAGUGGGUGAUAACGUCCGGAAACGGGCGCUAAUACCUCAUACGUCCUGAGGGAGAAAGUGGGGGAUCUUCGGACUUCACGCUAUCAGAUGAGCCUAGGUCGGAUUAGCUAGUUGGUGGGGUAAAGGCCUACCAAGGCGACGAUCCGUAACUGGUCUGAGAGGAGGAUCAGUCACACUGGAACUGAGACACGCUCAAGACUCCUACGGGAGGCAGCAGUGGGGAAUAUUGGACAAUGGGCGAAAGCCUGAUCCAGCCAUGCCGCGUGUGUGAAGAAGGUCUUCGGAUUGUAAAGCCCUUUAAGUUGGGAGGAAGGGCAGUAAGUUAAUACCUUGCUGUUUUGACGUUACCAACAGAAUAAGCACCGGCUAACUUCGUG